rnacentral:rRNA from 1 species
GGACGAACGCUGGCGGCGUGCUUAACACAUGCAAGUCGAACGGAAAGGCCCUGCUUUUGUGGGGUGCUCGAGUGGCGAACGGGUGAGUAACACGUGAGUAACCUGCCCUUGACUUUGGGAUAACUUCAGGAAACUGGGGCUAAUACCGGAUAGGAGCUCCUGCUGCAUGGUGGGGGUUGGAAAGUUUCGGCGGUUGGGGAUGGACUCGCGGCUUAUCAGCUUGUUGGUGGGGUGGUGGCUUACCAAGGCUUUGACGGGUAGCCGGCCUGAGAGGGUGACCGGCCACAUUGGGACUGAGAUACGGCCCAGACUCCUACGGGAGGCAGCAGUGGGGAAUAUUGCACAAUGGGCGGAAGCCUGAUGCAGCAACGCCGCGUGCGGGAUGACGGCCUUCGGGUUGUAAACCGCUUUCGCCUGUGACGAAGCGUGAGUGACGGUAAUGGGUAAAGAAGCACCGGCUAACUACGUG